rnacentral:rRNA from 1 species
GCAUACGGCCAUAUCACUUCGAAAACACCGGUUCUCGUCCGAUCACAGAAGUUGAGCAACGUCGAGCCUAGUUAGUACUUAAAUGGGUGACCGCUCGGGAAAUCUAGGAGCUGUAAACU